UACGAAGGGGACUAGCGUUGUUCGGAAUUACUGGGCGUAAAGCGCACGUAGGCGGAUUUGUUAGUCAGGGGUGAAAUCCCGGGGCUCAACCUCGGAACUGCCUUUGAUACUGCAAAUCUCGAGUCCGAUAGAGGUGGGUGGAAUUCCUAGUGUAGAGGUGAAAUUCGUAGAUAUUAGGAAGAACACCGGUGGCUAAGGCGGCCCACUGGAUCGGUACUGACGCUGAGGUGCGAAAUCGUGGGGAGCAAACAGG
rnacentral:rRNA from 1 species